CCAAAGUACCCAUAACAUUUAGUUUCGUGAUCUUCUAUUGUCACGAAAGGCCGUGUUUACUGUUAAAAAAUAGUCAGAAACGCGAGGGACUUAACUCGUGCAAUCAUGAAUCAGAAACUCAACCUUCUGCUUCUAGUUAUUGCUUUCAUUUUGAUGUCAGGGAACUUUGUGGAAUCAGUGUGGGAACCAGAAGUGUGCAGUACUAUAUCUGAAUAUCAUUGUACUAACACGCAAUACGUACAAAUGUGUCCGAGUGUAUGUGGACUGUAAUCAAAUAACGAUUAUAGUACAAUGAAUCUCAUGAUUCUGAAGAUAAUAUGCAACACUGAAAAUAUAAUUGGAUAUAAGUGUAUAUAACUGCAUCUGCGACUUCAGACUACGAAGAAAAAAGACGAAAGAAACGCUUUAUAAAUACAUAAAUAAAUACGCCAUUGUAGUAUAAACUCAAUUACUUAAACAAUCUAUAUAUGUAAAUAGAAAUCAACACAAGAAGUAAAAUGGAUGUUAAUCCCUUCUUCAAGUUCUCCAAGAGGAAAAUGUUACAAUUAAAAAUGUUACACUCUUUCAUUCUCCACAUCUCAAACAUUUUUUAAAAAUUUAAGAAGUUAAUGACAUUGGCCAUCAAACGGUCCAAUUUUGUCCGCGAUUGAACUCUCGCAAUGAAUGGUCUCAACGUCCCAUAUUUUAUCAUUAAAGCGUUUCAUGGGCUCUUAACUGUAUAUAUUUAAAAUAAAUUUCAUUAUGACUGGGUUUGACCAAGAAAUAUUGAAAACGCUUUUGGCCAUAUGAAAAUUGCAAAAAUAAUAAAAAUGCCUUCGGGGAUAAAUUAUUUUAUGCAUUUUACAUGUUUCAUAGAUUUAAACUACUCUUGUAAUAAUAACGUUGCGACAUAGCAUUCCGCCGACGCAGAGAAGGAACGACGCAAGCGGAGUGUUCGAGAAAAGCGAUGACGAUUUGAAGGGGAUGGAAUUCCCACCCGCGGGUUGUAAAACGACUGCGUGGUCUCGAGAAAAAACAGAUUCUUCGCUAGCAGGAAAAAUCGGCUAGGUGAACGCUGUCAUCAGCAGAUACAGCUUGUUAACUAAAGAACAGCCCUUCAGACGACGGGCGCUCUCGAACGCCAAUAUUUUUGAAUUACGUCAUUUACAGUACUUUUACCGAUAAAUAAUGUUGAAGCAGUUUCGCGAGACGAUUUUCCCGCUUCCGCCAAAGAUAUUACAAUUUUCUGUACUUCAAUAGACGUAUUUCAAACCAUAUUUACAUUCGAGCGACUAUGUAAAUGGCUUUUCAGCAGAAUAAAAAGUGAAAGGUGCCCGUGCCAAAAACUAGCAUUGUAGGAGGCAGGCGUAAAAAAGAAGAGUUCAAGAACACGGCUGACACGAAAACAUACAGAAAAACACCUGAUUGAGGUUCUUGAACGCUCCUGAGCCCGAUAGACGCGCACGAUCAAGCGUAUGUGUAUACGUGAGCGCCGCAAUAUUGCGACCGUGGCAUAUCAAGAACGAACAACGGGUGUUGAGGGCAUUUACCUCGACGUACGAAAAUUUAAAUGAAUUAGACCUAGAACGUUCGGUCGAGGAGCCGAUAAAAGAAUGCGUCUACGGCAGGAGACUCACGUUGAAACGAUCACACGUCAAAGUUCACUGAUAAGCUAUGAUACGAUACGAGUACGAUUACGACAAACGGCUGACAAAUACGGAAUACGAACGCUAAUUACGAUUGCGACAAACGGCUAACGAACACGGAAUACGAACGCUAAUUACGAUUACGACAAACGGCUAAAGAACACGGAAUAGGAACGCGAAUCACAGUUUUAGGGCUUUAUGUUUAC